UUGCAUUACCGGUACGGAUCCGUCUGUGCAGAUACCAGACGGAUCCGCACUGGACGCAGGUGUGAAAGUAGCCUUACUCGAAUACACCUCUAUUUCUUUACCGGUGAUUUCUAAAUAAAUGGAUAUAAUAAGUAUUUUGUCUCUUGCUUUUGGAGGAACAAGUGAUUCCCAAGGUCGUUUUUUCAUAUCACACAGUACGGAGAAUACGCCAGCAUAACUGUAGAUCAAGAUCUUCUUAAACCCAGCUUUAUUGAAUGAUCCAAGUCAUGUACAGAAAUUCUCUUAAAACCGUGCAUGUGUUUGAAUCAGUAAAACAAGAGGAUAUUUGUGCAUGACUAUGAAGUGCUCUCUGCUUCACAGCCCCUCCCCUCUGUCCUGAGUGACAGCUGUAGCAUCCAACCAGAAGACCACUACUGCUGUCACGCAGAGGGGAGGGGCUGUGAAGCAACUCAAGGCAGAGAGCACUUCACAGUGAAGCUCCACCUCCAGUGCACUUCAGGAUUCUAGCAGAAUAAAAUUUUAUAUACACACUACUCCUGCUGAAAAAAG